rnacentral:rRNA from 1 species
GCAUUUGAGGACCGACUAGUACGGCGAGUGAAGCGGCAAGAGCUCAAAUUUGAAAGCUGGCCCCCUCGGGUCCGCAUUGUAAUUUGCAGAGGAUGCUUCGGGAACGGCCCCCAUCUAAGUGCCCUGGAACGGGCCGUCAUAGAGGGUGAGAAUCCCGUCUGGGAUGGGGUGGCCGCGCCCGUGUGAAGCUCCUUCGACGAGUCGAGUUGUUUGGGAAUGCAGCUCUAAUUGGGUGGUAAAUUUCAUCUAAAGCUAAAUAUUGGCCGGAGACCGAUAGCGCACAAGUAGAGUGAUCGAAAGAUGAAAAGCACUUUGAAAAGAGAGUUAAACAGCACGUGAAAUUGUUGAAAGGGAAGCGCUUGCGACCAGACUCGCCCGCGGGGUUCAGCCGGCACUCGUGCCGGUGUACUUCCCCGCGGGCGGGCCAGCGUCGGUUUGGGCGGCCGGUCAAAGGCCUCUGGAAGGUAACGCCUCUCGGGGCGUCUUAUAGCCAGGGGUGCCAUGCGGCCUGCCCGGACCGAGGAACGCGCUUCGGCUCGGACGCUGGCAUAAUGGUCGUAAGCGACCCGUCUUGAAACACGGAACCAAA